rnacentral:pre_miRNA from 1 species
AACCCGUAGAACCGAACUUGUGCCGUUAUUCGUCAAGCCUGCAAGGUCCGGUCUACGGGACUG